rnacentral:rRNA from 1 species
GAUGAACGCUGGCGGCGUGCCUAAUACAUGCCAGUCGAGCGAACAGACGAGGAGCUUGCUCCUCUGACGUUAGCGGCGGACGGGUGAGUAACACGUGGAUAACCUACCUAUAAGACUGGGAUAACUUUGGGAAACCGGAGCUAAUACCGGAUAAUAUAUUGAACCGCAUGGUUCAAUAGUGAAAGACGGUUUUGCUGUCACUUAUAGAUGGAUCCGCGCCGCAUUAGCUAGUUGGUAAGGUAACGGCUUACCAAGGCGACGAUGCGUAGCCGACCUGAGAGGGUGAUCGGCCACACUGGAACUGAGACACGGUCCAGACUCCUACGGGAGGCAGCAGUAGGGAAUCUUCCGCAAUGGGCGAAAGCCUGACGGAGCAACGCCGCGUGAGUGAUGAAGGUCUUCGGAUCGUAAAACUCUGUUAUUAGGGAAGAACAAAUGUGUAAGUAACUAUGCACGUCUUGACGGUACCUAAUCAGAAAGCCACGGCUAACUACGUG